GGGAACGUACCCUUCGGUUCGGAACAACUCUGGGAAACUGGAGCUAAUACCGGAUACGCCCUUAUGGGGAAAGGUUUACUGCCGAAGGAUCGGCCCGCGUCUGAUUAGCUAGUUGGUGGGGUAACGGCCUACCAAGGCGACGAUCAGUAGCUGGUCUGAGAGGAUGAUCAGCCACACUGGGACUGAGACACGGCCCAGACUCCUACGGGAGGCAGCAGUGGGGAAUAUUGGACAAUGGGCGCAAGCCUGAUCCAGCCAUGCCGCGUGAGUGAUGAAGGCCUUAGGGUUGUAAAGCUCUUUUGUCCGGGACGAUAAUGACGGUACCGGAAGAAUAAGCCCCGGCUAACUUCGUGCCAGCAGCCGCGGUAAUACGAAGGGGGCUAGCGUUGCUCGGAAUCACUGGGCGUAAAGGGCGCGUAGGCGGCCAUUCAAGUCGGGGGUGAAAGCCUGUGGCUCAACCACAGAAUUGCCUUCGAUACUGUUUGGCUUGAGUAUGGUAGAGGUUGGUGGAACUGCGAGU
rnacentral:rRNA from 1 species